rnacentral:rRNA from 1 species
GCAUAUCAAUAAGCGGAGGAAAAGAAACUAACAAGGAUUCCCCUAGUAACGGCGAGUGAAGCGGGAUGAGCUCAAAUUUAAAAUCUGGCGGCCUCAGGUCGUCCGAGUUGUAGUCUAGAGAAUCGUUUUCCGCGUUGGCCUGUGUACAAGUCCCUUGGAACAGGGCGUCAUAGAGGGUGAGAAUCCCGUCCUUGACACAGACUACCAAUGCUUUGUGAUGCGAUCUCGAAGAGUCGAGUUGUUUGGGAAUGCAGCUCAAAAUGGGUGGUAAAUUCCAUCUAAAGCUAAAUAUUGGCGAGAGACCGAUAGCGAACAAGUACCGUGAGGGAAAGAUGAAAAGCACUUUGGAAAGAGAGUUAAACAGUACGUGAAAUUGUUAAAAGGGAAACGAUUGAAGUCAGUCAUGCUUUCCGAGACUCAGCCGAUUCUGUCGGUGUACUUCUCGGUUGGCAGGCCAGCAUCAGUUUCGAUCUGUGGAAAAGGUUGGAGGGAACGUGGCAUCCUCGGAUGUGUUAUAGCCCUUCUUCGAAUACAUAGAGCGGGACUGAGGAACGCAGCGCGCCUUUUAUUAGGUUGGCCCUCGGGUACAUACGCGCUUAGGAUGCUGGCAUAAUGGCUUUAAACGACCCGUCUUGAAACACGGACCAAGGAGUCUAACAUGUUUGCGAGUGUUUGGGUGGUAAACCCGAACGCGUAAUUAAAGUGAAUGCAGGUGGGAUCCGCAAGGAGCACCAUCGACCGAUCUGGAUCUUUUGUGAUGGAUUUGAGUAAGAGCACAUAUGUUGGGACCCGAAAGAUGGUGAACUAUGCCUGAAUAGGGCGAAGCCAGAGGAAACUCUGGUGGAGGCUCGUAGCGAUUCUGACGUGCAAAUCGAUCGUCAAAUUUGGGUAUAGGGGCGAAAGACUAAUCGUACCAUCUAGG